rnacentral:lncRNA from 12 species
UAUCUGUAAGAUGAAAAAUCCUCUUUUGUAAAUGCCAGAGUUCUUCUGUCAUUGGACAGUGCAAUCUUCAUUGAAUUAAGGUUAUUUAGUGCACAAGAAGCACAUCACAUCUUUCAAGAUGACAAGAAUACAGAAGGACACAGAAUAUUCUUCUUCCAUCACUAUCGAAAACAUUCUGUGAACUUGCAGGGCAGAGAAAACAAAG